UGCUCCGUUUCCAUAGUAACAGGACUAGGGCUGCAGCGAUUACUAUUGAAAUACUCAGCGAUUAAUUUAAUAGUUGGUUACCGUAUUUUCUGGACUAUAAGCCGACACUUUUUUCCUUGGUUUUGAACCAUACGGCUAUUCUUUGGAAUUUUCUUCCACCGUGGUCACAUCAAGAAGCUCCGUGGAGUCUGGUGGAGAUUUUCCAGCGUUCUCAGUCCUGCUACCCGCAGCAGCAGAAACGCAGAGACGCGAGCAGCCAAGAGCAUCAGCUGCAGAGGUGGAUCGUGGAGGGAAGCCGUGGAGUCCAUCUACAGAUCAACUGUGCAGAAACUGCUGAAAACAACUCGCCUCUACACCAACACAACGAUCAGAGAAAGUCUCAACAAUCUUAUCAGAACUCUAAACAAAUCUUUGUUCCUGUGGGAACCGUUCAUUAAGGAUCAGGGUGGAGAUGUGAGCAGUCUGAAGAACGGCGUUCCCAGCUGUUGUUGGAUAAGACUAAAUCCUAUCACAGUUGGAUCCGAGAGGCUAGCUUCUGUUUUUCUGCAGAAACAGGACAUGUUUGCAACGUCAGGGGAAAAGCGUUUUCCACCUGCAUCCACACUGACGUGUUUUAGAUGUUUAACCCCUGUGACCCACCAAAGUCUUUGCAUUAAAUCUGCAACCUUUAACACUAAAAGAA